AGUACGUGAAACUGUGUAGUGGUAAACGGACGCGUUCUCGAAGUCGGUAACGGAGGUUCAGGCUUACGUCGGAUUUGCUUUGGUUGUAUCGAUCCGCAAGGACUUUCUGCCUUUGUCUUUUUCGUCGGCGGCUGUAUUUCUCCGUUGCUUCACGGGACGUACCGUUUCUGGUGGACUGAGCUGUGGGAUGAAGUUUUCCGCUCGCUUGCGUGUGGUUAGCUCCCGCUUCUAGCUUCGCCGGAGACGGGUAGAUAAGGGGUCUCGUAUAGCGAGUGUCUCUCACUGACACGGGCCCCAUAUCAGUCUCGAGUAGGUCGGUGGCGCGUCCGACCCGUCUUGAAACACGG
rnacentral:rRNA from 1 species